rnacentral:rRNA from 1 species
GACGAACGCUGGCGGCGUGCUUAACACAUGCAAGUCGAACGGAAAGGCCCUGCUUGCAGGGUACUCGAGUGGCGAACGGGUGAGUAACACGUGGGUUAUCUGCCCUGCACUUCGGGAUAAGCCUGGGAAACUGGGUCUAAUACCGGAUAGGAGCCAUUUUUAGUGUGAUGGUUGGAAAGUUUUUUUCGGUGUAGGAUGAGCUCGCGGCCUAUCAGCUUGUUGGUGGGGUAAUGGCCUACCAAGGCGGCGACGGGUAGCCGGCCUGAGAGGGUGGACAGCCACAUUGGGACUGAGAUACGGCCCAGACUCCUACGGGAGGCAGCAGUGGGGAAUAUUGCACAAUGGGCGCAAGCCUGAUGCAGCGACGCCGCGUGGGGGAUGACGGCCUUCGGGUUGUAAACUCCUUUCGCUAGGGACGAAGCUUUUUGUGACGGUACCUAGAUAAGAAGCACCGGCUAACUACGUG